GAUUAUUUGAUGGAAGGGUUGGCGCGUUCACAAAUCAACCCGAUUCAUGCUACUUUUAGACAAUACCGCUCUAGUUUUGUUCCAGCUUUUUCCCUGCAGUUUAAAAAUAAUCUGACUAGCGGUGGAAUUUUGUUUAUGAAACCUUCUCAAUCAUGCAAUUCUAUUACUGCUUCAGUUCAACCUUUAAAAGCCUCCUCACUGGGCCACUGCAACAAUACAUUGCCAUCCAAAGAGGUUCUUGAGCUUUGGAGAAGUGCCGAUUCAGUAUGCUUUGAUGUGGAUAGCACGGUAUGCCUAGAUGAGGGUAUUGAUGAACUUGCAGAGUUUUGUGGAGCUGGAAAGGCUGUUGCAGAAUGGACUGCUAAAGCAAUGGGUGGUUCUGUUCCUUUUGAGGAGGCCUUGGCUGCCAGACUAUCUCUGUUCAAACCUUCCCUAUCUCAGGUCCAAGAUUUUCUUGAGAAGAGGCCCCCAAAAAUCUCUCCUGGCAUAGAUGAGUUGGUCAAGAAGCUGAAGGCUAAAAAUACAAAUGUUUAUUUGAUCUCGGGAGGCUUUCGACAAAUGAUCAAUCCUGUUGCAUCUAUCCUUGGGAUUCCACCUGAAAAUAUAUUUGCCAACCAAUUACUCUUCGGAAGUUCUGGGGAAUUUCUGGGGUUUGAUGCAAAUGAGCCGACUUCAAGGAGUGGAGGAAAAGCAACUGCAGUGCAGCAAAUAAGGAAGGUUCAUGGAUACAAGGCUCUGGUUAUG
rnacentral:misc_RNA from 1 species